rnacentral:rRNA from 1 species
UGCCAGACUCCUACGGGAGGCAGCAGUGGGGAAUAUUGCACAAUGGGGGAAACCCUGAUGCAGCGACGCCGCGUGAGCGAUGAAGUAUUUCGGUAUGUAAAGCUCUAUCAGCAGGGAAGAAAAUGACGGUACCUGACUAAGAAGCCCCGGCUAACUACGUGCCAGCAGCCGCGGUAAUACGUAGGGGGCAAGCGUUAUCCGGAUUUACUGGGUGUAAAGGGAGCGUAGACGGCUGUGCAAGCCAGAUGUGAAAGCCCGGGGCUCAACCCCGGGACUGCAUUUGGAACUGUGUGGCUGGAGUGUCGGAGAGGCAGGCGGAAUUCCUAGUGUAGUGGUGAAAUGCGUAGAUAUUAGGAGGAACACCAGUGGCGAAGGCGGCCUGCUGGACGAUGACUGACGUUGAGGCUCGAAAGCGUGGGGAGCAAACAGGAUUAGAUACCCGUGUA